rnacentral:rRNA from 1 species
UACGAAGGGAGCUAGCGUUGUUCGGAAUCAUUGGGCGUAAAGCGCGCGUAGGCGGCCCGGUAAGUCCGCUCGUGAAAAGUCCCAGGGCUCAACCCUGGAAAGCGGGUGGAUACUGCCGGGCUAGAAUCCGGAAGAGGCGAGUGGAAUUCCGUGGUGUAGGCGGUGGAAUGCGCAGAUAAUCAGGAAGAACACCCGUGGACUAAGGCGGCUCUCGUAGUACGGUACUGACGCUGAGGCGCGAA